rnacentral:lncRNA from 1 species
GUAACUAGCACAGCGAAAACCAAUCUGAGGACCUUCGUCUACUCGCAUUUUUUAAUAAUCCGAGUGUAAAUUGAGGGUGCCAAACAGCUGUUCAGGAGCUGCGACGGGUGUCUAACUGCUCACUGAAGAGGUCAAAGAGAGCUUUGAGAAAUGCUUGCCCUGACAGUGAUGUUUGUUCUCUCAGUGCUACCGCUGAUCGCCUUCAUACCAGCCAAUCGCAUAGCUGAGAACUCAAGCAAGCACGAAAUAGAAAAACCUCAAUUUGAAGAGUUUUAUAUUGAAAAUAUCCAGGAUUUCCUGAUUAUUUUACAGACAAGCUAACGAAAUUCAGUAGAUGACCUGCGUUUCAUCGCUGCCAGAUGAUAAACAUUUGGGAGCAGGGACCACUUGCUGAAAGGCAUCUUGAGAGAUAUGCUCCCACUUCUCAGAUCGGAAGACUAAGGCCCCAAAGCCUCCAGAUCUAGCCUCUUAAUCCAGGCUUCUUCUUAGCCACUGUGGUCUCACCCCGUUUAUCAGGCAGUGGGAUCUGUCUGCCCCACCCAACUCCAGAGCUUUUCCUUUUGUUUUGGAAUUGCCCUUGAGUUCUGCGCUGCUCUUCUCCUCUUCCCCGUGGGUAUGAAAACACCAAGGAUGUCAACAGGAAAAGACAAGGAUCUGUAAACAGAGAAGCGAGCAGGAAACAAGGCCCGCAUUCAUGGGAAUAAACUCAGCAACCCUAGAACAUUUGCCAUUCAUAACGGCAAAUUUUAAUCAGUGGUGCUGAGAAACUCUUCCCAAGCAAAAAAGGCUUGUGUCUCUCUGGGGUGGGCCUCUCUCCUUGCUCCAAAUCUGGUCUUAGUUCCCAGUCUAAGGUAGCUAGGGGAUCUUCACAGCACACUCCUUGAACAAUAUCACAUUUAUAUAACCUUGCCCCUCCCUUGUUUGUGAGUCUGGCUAUUUCUUUCCCUGUUAAAAGACAAAACCCCAACCUCGUCAUAGAACACCCACCAAACAAGAGCAGGAAUCCCUCUUUAUCUGAUGGGCUUGCCAUGCAGAGCUGCGGACCCUGAGUUGCCUGGCAGAUGGGAAGCAAGCCCAUCCUGCCCUGUGGAGGGGAGGGGCGGAGGAGAGCCCACUGCCAGUCCACAGCGGCCACACUGGAGAGACCUGCAAAUCCGGGCUGGCCGUGCAAAUCCGGGCUCAUUGUCAGGCUGGCAGCAUUGGCCAGGCCUGAGUAAAUCAAGUGAAACAGAAGACAGAUGGAUGUGACCAAGUUAUUGCCAAGAGGAAACAGACAAGGAUCUUGCUCUGUUACCCAGGCUGGAAGACAGUGGUGUGGACACAGCUCACUAUGGCCUGGACCGUCCUGGGAUGAAGCGAUCCUCCCACCUCAGCCUCCCAAGUAGCUAGAUCUAUAGACACAUGCCACUAUGCCAGGCUAAUUAUUUUAUUUUUUUGUAGAGAUGGGGUCUCACUUUUUUGCUCAGGUUGGUCCCAAACUCCUGGUCUCAAGUGAUCCUCCUGCCUCAGCCUCCCCAAGUGCUGGGAUUACCCCUGUGCCUAAAGUCUAUUUUUUUUUUUUCUUUAAGGAUCUCUUACCAUCUUUGAGAAGAGUAUCUUGUAUGAAUUGUAGAGACGCAUGAUAGAAGUCAGGAAGAGUGGCUGGGUUGAGGGAGGCUUUUUAUUGCAAUAAUCCAGGUGUCAGGGGACAAGAAGCAGGACUAGGACAUUAAUAGCUGGGAUGGAGAGAUUAGGGAACUUUCGAAAGCAAAUGGAGGAAAGGGUAAAGUCAGGGUGUGGUAGCUAGUUUCUAAAGAUUGUUCCCAGUGAACCACACCCAGUAGUGUUGUCUCACAUUGAUUCUGGACUGGGCCAUUCAAACUGAGGGAAUGAGGCAAGAUGGUACUACGUUGACUUCUCAUGACUUCCAAGGCUAGGUUGGAGGAAGGUUUGCCUGGGCCUCUUGGAAUGAGAACCCAGCUCUCACGCCGUGAGAAGCCCAAACCACCCAGCUGAGCUCCUAGCUACCAGCCAGCAUCACCCACCAGCCACAGGAGUGAGCCAUCUUGGGCAGCUAGUCCAGCUGAGCCAUGAGAUGACGGCAGCCCCAGACAACAUCUGUCCUUAAUGACCUAAGAUAACCCAACAAGAACUACCUGCCUGAGCCAAUGGACCUCCAGAAUCAGGAAGGACAGUAAGAAAUUGCUGCACCACUGAGUUUUGGGGAGGUUUAUUUUGUAGCAUUAAAGAGCCAGAACACAGAGAACACACCAGGUUGUGCUUGAGUGACUGGAGGGAGGGUGAUAUUAUUAACUGAGGUAGACAAUGUGGGAGAAAGAAUAGGUUUGGUGGGGUAAAUAGGUUUUGUUUUGGACUUCGAGAUGCCUGAGGUACUUCUAGAUGUAGUUCCUUGGUAGACAUCUGUAUGUACAAAUCCAAAAGCCAAUGAAGAGAUCUAGGCUGAAGAUGGAGAUCUGGAAGACAUCAGCAUAUAGCCCUGAGUGCAUCACCCUACCCAAAAAGUAGGACUACCCCUUCUGUAAAGAUUAGUCCAAACAGCACUUCCUCUAUGGAGAAUCCAUUGGCAUUGGUUUCUAAAAACCAGCUAUUCUUUUCCCAAUAAUUCGGUAGUUCUUUGGCAAUAUCUUAUCUACAUCUCUUACCACACUACCCUAUAAUGAUAUAUUUACAUGUCUG